UUUGCAGGAGUUAUGUAUCGGUGCUUUGCUUUAUCGCGUGCAUUUGUGACCGAGCGUUCCCUGCUAAAUUGACUGUAAGGGAGAAUGGACUUUUGGGUUAUUUUUCUUUAUUCGAUUACUCAACAAUCUUUCUCCCCAUAUUC